UCAAACCCCCUCUAUUGGAUUUUUAACGCGGUUUUUACGGUUGCAUACCUGCAAUUUUUGCUGUGAUGGUUUAAUAAGUAGGCUAUGGAUUUUUUUUUGCAAAGUUUCUACAAGAUUUAUUAUACGAGAUUCAAAACAUCUCAUUAACAAAUACACGGUACAAAUUAUUUAGAUACAUUGAUAACAUCACGAAACAUGCUCAAGUAUUCCUUGUGCGAUAAGCAACUCACACUGGACACGAGGCAAUAAGUGUUCUGAGUGAGAUCAAGUGAAUAACUACCUUCACCUAUAGAUUUCAUAUAUGCUGCAAGGGAUUUGUUGUAUUUCAUGAAGAACUGAGCUUCAGGCUCACAGAUGUUUGCCUUUAUAUCUGCAGGAAGGACUGAACCAAAAUGCCAGCGAUGUUCUUUUAUUCUUUCAAGUCUGUUAUAAAGUUUACCUCUUAUUUCUUUCUAGAGCACAGUGCCGAAUAUGCACUGAAGUAAUGUAUUCUGACUCCCCUGCUACAGCAGAGCUCCUGGAGAAAUACAUUAUUAUUCACCUUC